rnacentral:rRNA from 1 species
GACGAACGCUGGCGGCGUGCUUAACACAUGCGAGUCGAACGGAAAGGCCUGCUUUCCCUUGUGGAUUGCGGGUACUCGAGUGGCGAACGGGUGAGUAACACGUGAGUGAUCCGCCCCCAACUUGGGUAUAAGCCUGGGAAACUGGGUCUAAUUCCCGAUAGGACUGCAGGGUGGUGCCUGUGGUGGAAAACGAUUUUCUAGUGGUUGGGGAUGAGCUCGCGGCCUAUCAGCUUGUUGGUGGGGUAAUGGCCUACCAAGGCGGCGACGGGUAGCCGGCCUGAGAGGGUGGACGGCCACAUUGGGACUGAGAUACGGCCCAGACUCCUACGGGAGGCAGCAGUGGGGAAUAUUGCACAAUGGGCGGAAGCCUGAUGCAGCGACGCCGCGUGGGGGAUGACGGCCUUCGGGUUGUAAACUCCUUUCGACCGCGAGGAAGCCACCUGGUUGGAAGGGUGGUGACGGUAGUGGUAGAAGAAGCACCGGCUAACUACGUG